UACGUAGGGGGCAAGCGUUGUCCGGAAUCAUUGGGCGUAAAGAGCGUGUAGGCGGUUCGGUAAGUCCGUCGUGAAAGUCCAGGGCUCAACCCUGGAAUGCCGAUGGAUACUGCCGGACUAGAGUUCGGAAGAGGCGAGUGGAAUUCCUGGUGUAGCGGUGAAAUGCGCAGAUAUCAGGAGGAACACCUAUGGCGAAGGCAGCUCGCUGGGACGCAACUGACGCUGAGACGCGAAAGCGUGGGGAGCAAACAGG
rnacentral:rRNA from 1 species